rnacentral:tRNA from 1 species
AUCUAAAUAGUUUAUUUAAAAUAAUAAUUUGUGGUGUUAUAGAUGUACGAUGUACUUUAGAUU